rnacentral:lncRNA from 1 species
AGCUCCUGAUGGAGAAGAAUCUUAUAAAGAAGAAGUUGGUGAUAUUGAAGCAGGAGAGCAAGAAAGUACAGGCUGAUUGGGCCCUCAUUCAUCAAUAUUUGGUGGACUUGAACCUGAGUGGUAAAGACGAACAGGAGAAGACCAGCAACCUUGAGACUCAAGAACAUCAGGUCUCAGAAACUGCAAGAGAGCUGGGAUUGCCCACAGCCCAAGAAUAGAGCAUCCUGCAGAAUGAGUUGCCACCCCAAGAGCCCACUGCUGAGCACCAUCCCCAGCAUCCACAAUCUUCCUUGGAUGAAUCUUCUUCCAUAUAGUUCAUUUCCUUAGGGUGAAUAGGCCCUAACUAGGAAGCCAUGGCUGAUUCAGGGUGUUAUUCCCUUUUCUCUUCAGACAACUCCCAUUGGCAGAGAACUGAGGUUAUUGCACUGCCACCAAGUGUCCAGGAGGAGUAACAGGCUGUAGGUCUGUGCUGCUAAAUGUGCAGAAAGAGAAAUCAGC